AUUAAGUUUAAUUUAAUAUAGGAUCUGCUCAAUGAUUUAUUAAAUAGCUGCAGUAUUUUGACUGUGCAAAGGUAGCAUAAUAAUUAGUCUUUUAAUUGGGGACUUGUAUGAAAGAUUUGAUGAGAAAUAAACUUUAUUAUUUAUAUAAUUAAAAUUUUAUUUUUAAGUAAAAAAGCUUAAAUUUUUUAAAGGGACGAUAAGACCCUAUAAAACUUUAUAAAUAUUAAUUUUAAUUUUUUUGGAUUUAUAAAUAUUUUAUUAUUAUUAUUUAUUUUAUUGGGGUGAUAAAAAAAAUUAAUUAACUUUUUUUAAAAUUUUACAUUAUUUAAUGAAUUUUUGAAUUAAAAUUUUUAAUUAAAGGAAAAAGUUACUUUAGGGAUAACAGCGUAAUUAAUUUUUUAAGUUCAAAUUUGAAAAUUAGUUUGCGACCUCGAUGUUGAAUUAAGAUUAAUCUUAGGUGCAAAAUUUUAAGUAUUAGGUCUGUUCGACCUUUAAAUUCUUACGUGA
rnacentral:rRNA from 1 species